AUGUCACAAAUAACAUUUGAUUUGAUCUCUGUCUGUCUCUGUUUCUGUCUGUCUCUGUUUCUGUCUGUCUCUGUUUCUGUCUGUCUCUGUUUCUGUCUGUCUCUGUUUCUGUCUGUGUCUCUGUCUCUAUCUGUGUCUCUGUCUGUCUCUGUUUCUGUCUGUCUCUGUUUCUGUCUGUCUCUGUUUCUGUCUGUGUCUCUGUCUCUAUCUGUGUCUCUGUCUGUCUCUGUUUCUGUCUGUCUCUGUUUCUGUCUGUGUCUGUUUCUGUCUGUGUCUCUGUCUCUAUCUGUGUCUCUGUCUGUCUCUGUUUCUGUCUGUCUCUGUUUCUGUCUGUGUCUCUAUCUGUGUCUCUGUCUGUCUCUGUUUCUGUCUGUCUCUGUUUCUGUCUGUGUCUCUGUCUGUGUCUCUGUCUCUAUCUGUGUCUCUGUCUGUCUCUGUUUCUGUCUCUAUCUGUGUCUCUGUCUCUAUCUGUGUCUCUGUCUGUCUGUGUCUCUGUCUCUAUCUGUGUCUCUGUCUGUCUCUGUUUCUGUCUGUGUCUCUGUCUCUAUCUGUGUCUCUGUCUGUCUGUGUCUCUGUCUGUCUGUGUCUCUGUCUCUAUCUGUGUCUCUGUCUGUCUGUGUCUCUGUCUCUAUCUGUGUCUCUGUCUGUCUGUGUCUCUGUCUCUAUCUGUGUCUCUGUCUGUCUGUGUCUCUGUCUCUAUUUGUGUCUCUGUCUGUCUGUGUCUCUGUCUCUAUCUGUGUCUCUGUCUGUCUGUGUCUCUAUCUCUGUCUUUCUGUCUGUGUCUCUGUCUCUAUCUGUGUCUCUGUCUCUAUCUGUGUCUCUGUCUGUCUGUGUCUCUGUCUCUCUCUCUAUCUGUGUCUCUGUGUGUGUCUAUUUGUGUCUCUAUAUCUGUCUGUGUCUAUCUGUGUCUCUAUCUAUGUGUGUGUCCCUAUCUCUGUCUCUAUCUCUGUGUGUGUGUCUAUCUCUGUGUGUCCCUAUAUCUGUGUCUAUCUCUGUGUGUCUCUGUGUGUCUCUAUCUCUGUCUCUCUCUGUGUCUCUAUCUCUGUGUGCAUCUCAACAGUCUAA
rnacentral:lncRNA from 1 species